UACGUAGGGUGCGAGCGUUGUCCGGAAUUAUUGGGCGUAAAGAGCUCGUAGGCGGCUUGUCACGUCGGAUGUGAAAACCCGGGGCUCAACCCCGGGCCUGCAUUCGAUACGGGCAGGCUAGAGUUCGGCAGGGGAGACUGGAAUUCCUGGUGUAGCGGUGAAAUGCGCAGAUAUCAGGAGGAACACCGGUGGCGAAGGCGGGUCUCUGGGCCGAUACUGACGCUGAGGAGCGAAAGCGUGGGGAGCAAACAGG
rnacentral:rRNA from 1 species